rnacentral:siRNA from 1 species
UAAGUUCGAUGUCGUUGCCCU